rnacentral:rRNA from 1 species
CCUACGGGGGGCAGCAGUGGGGAAUAUUGCACAAUGGGGGAAACCCUGAUGCAGCCAUGCCGCGUGUGUGAAGAAGGCCUUCGGGUUGUAAAGCACUUUCAGCGAGGAGGAAAGGUUGAUGCCUAAUACGUAUCAACUGUGACGUUACUCGCAGAAGAAGCACCGGCUAACUCCGUGCCAGCAGCCGCGGUAAUACGGAGGGUGCAAGCGUUAAUCGGAAUUACUGGGCGUAAAGCGCACGCAGGCGGUUGGAUAAGUUAGAUGUGAAAGCCCCGGGCUCAACCUGGGAAUUGCAUUUAAAACUGUCCAGCUAGAGUCUUGUAGAGGGGGGUAGAAUUCCAGGUGUAGCGGUGAAAUGCGUAGAGAUCUGGAGGAAUACCGGUGGCGAAGGCGGCCCCCUGGACAAAGACUGACGCUCAGGUGCGAAAGCGUGGGGAGCAAACAGGAUUAGAUACCCCAGUAGUC